rnacentral:misc_RNA from 1 species
AAGUCGUAACAAGGUCUCCGUUAGUAAACCAGCGGAGGGAUCAUUACCGAGUUAUUACUCCAAACCCUUUAUAAACCUUACCUUUUUAUUACUCGGCGCACCGCGGGCCGCGGCUUCGGCCCGUCCCACAGCGCGCCAGAGGACCCAACUCUUCAAUUUAUAGCAUACCUUCUAAUUUACAAAACAAACAAGUUAAAACUUUCAACAACGGAUCUCUUAGUUCUA